rnacentral:rRNA from 1 species
GACGAACGCUGGCGGCGUGCUUAACACAUGCAAGUCGAGCGGAAAGGCCCUUCGGGGUACUCGAGCGGCGAACGGGUGAGUAACACGUGAGUAAUCUGCCCUUCACUCUGGGAUAGCCACCGGAAACGGUGAUUAAUACCGGAUACGACCACCGUGGGCAUCCACUGGUGGUGGAAACUUUUUUGGGUGGGGGAUGUGCUCGCGGCCUAUCAGCCUGUUGGUGGGGUAAUGGCCUACCAAGGCUUCGACGGGUAGCCGGCCUGCGAGGGUGACCGGCCACACUGGGACUGAGACACGGCCCAGACUCCUACGGGAGGCAGCAGUGGGGAAUAUUGGACAAUGGGCGGAAGCCUGAUCCAGCGACGCCGCGUGAGGGAUGACGGCCUUCGGGUUGUAAACCUCUUUCAGCACCGACGAAGCGCAAGUGACGGUAGGUGCAGAAGAAGGACCGGCCAACUACGUGCCAGCCGCCGCCGUAACAC